UAAAUUAAACUCAAGAGAUUAUUUGGAAAAACUAAAGGUUAAAAUAAUCGAUGGUUCUAAUUUGUAUAGUGGAAGCGCAGAAAUAGAAGAGACGAUGAGUCAUGAAUCAGUGUUGGACUCUUGGGACUUUUAAACUAGCUCUUCUUCUACUUUUGUAUCCUCCUUAUGUAAUAUGAUCAUUGUAAAUUUGUAACGCUAUUAAAUAAAAUAAAAUAAAAUUUGUCCCAUGUUAUAAAUUUCUCUUGACUGUAAACACGUCUCUGUUUAACAGUUUAAGACUCCUCUUAGAUUCGAAUCUCAUAUUUCAUAAUUUUGGAAGUGACAUGUAGCGGCUUAUUGAUUUUCUUGAUUCAUAUUUUU
rnacentral:sRNA from 1 species